UCGAGGAUCUUCGUCAAUGGGCGCAAGCCUGAACGAGCGACACCGCGUGCGCGAUGAAGGCCUUCGGGUUGUAAAGCGCGAAAGUGGAAAGAAAGGGAAACUUGAUCGAUCCACAGUAAGGACGGGCUAAGUUCGUGCCAGCAGCCGCGGUAAGACGAACUGUCCUAACGUUGUUCGGAAUCACUGGGCUUAAAGGGCGCGUAGGCGGGCCGACAAGUCGGGGGUGAAAUCCUGCAGCUUAACUGCAGAAGUGCCUUCGAUACUGUUGGUCUAGAGGGAGAUAGGGGUGUGCGGAACUUCCAGUGGAGCGGUGAAAUGCGUUGAUAUUGGAAGGAACGCCGGAGGCGAAAGCGGCGCACUGGAUCUCUACUGACGCUGAGGCGCGAAAGCCAGGGGAGCAAACGG
rnacentral:rRNA from 1 species